rnacentral:rRNA from 1 species
AUUGAACGCUGGCGGCAGGCCUAACACAUGCAAGUCGAACGAGUGGCGGACGUGUGAGUUAUGUCUGGGAAACUGCCUGAUGGAGGGGGAUAACUACUGGAAACGGUAGCUAAUACCGCAUACCAUCGGAUGUGCCCAUAUGGGAUUCGCUAUUGGGGGGGGUAAAGGCUCACCUAGGCGACGAUCCCUAGCUGGUCUGAGAGGAUGACGAGCCACACCGGAACUGUGACACGGUCCAGACUCCUACGGGAGGCAGCAGUGGGGAAUAUUGCACAAUGGGCGCAAGCCUGAUGCAGCCAUGCCGCGUGUAUGAAGAAGGCCUUCGGGUUGUAAAGUACUUUCAGCGGGGAGGCGUUACCCGCAGAAGAAGCACCGGCUAACUCCGUGCCAGCAGCCGCGGUAAUUG